UGCAGUCGAGCGCACUGGCCCAACUGAUAUGACGUGCUUGCNCUGAAUUGACGUUGGAUUACCAGUGAGCGGCGGACGGGUGAGUAACACGUGGGCAACCUGCCCUGAAGCGGGGGAUAACAUNAGNAAACAGGUGCUAAUACCGCAUAACAACGAAAACCACAUGGUUUUCGUUUCAAAGAUGGUUUCGGCUAUCACUUCAGGAUGGGCCCGCGGUGCAUUAGCUAGUUGGUAAGGUAACGGCUUACCAAGGCAAUGAUGCAUAGCCGAGUUGAGAGACUGAUCGGCCACAAUGGAACUGAGACACGGUCCAUACUCCUACGGGAGGCAGCAGUAGGGAAUCUUCCACAAUGGGCGCAAGCCUGAUGGAGCAACACCGCGUGAGUGAAGAAGGGUUUCGGCUCGUAAAGCUCUGUUGUUGGAGAAGAACGUGCGUGAGAGUAACUGUUCACGCAGUGACGGUAUCCAACCAGAAAGUCACGGCUAACUACGUGCCAGCAGCCGCGGUA
rnacentral:rRNA from 2 species